GUGUAGGAUUUAGGUUCCUAUAAGAUAGAGUAAUCUAUAAAUAACUAAGUAUCUAAU
rnacentral:tRNA from 1 species